UAACGCGUGGGAACGUACCCUUCACUACGGAAUAGCUUCUGGAAACGGAAGGUAAUACCGUAUACGCCCUCCGGGGGAAAGAUUUAUCGGUGAAGGAUCGGCCCGCGUUAGAUUAGUUUGUUGGUGGGGUAAUGGCCUACCAAGACUACGAUCUAUAGCUGGUCUGAGAGGAUGAUCAGCCACACUGGGACUGAGACACGGCCCAGACUCCUACGGGAGGCAGCAGUGGGGAAUCUUGCACAAUGGGCGAAAGCCUGAUGCAGCCAUGCCGCGUGAAUGAUGAAGGCCUUAGGGUUGUAAAAUUCUUUCGCCAGGGAUGAUAAUGACAGUACCUGGUAAAGAAGCCCCGGCUAACUUCGUGCCAGCAGCCGCGGUAAUACGAAGGGGGCUAGCGUUGUUCGGAAUUACUGGGCGUAAAGCGCGCGUAGGCGGGCUAUUAAGCCAGAUGUGAAAGCCCGGGGCUCAACCUCGGAAUUGCAUUUGGAACUGGUAGCCUAGAGACCAGGAGAGGUUAGCGGAAUACCGAGUGUAGAGGUGAAAUUCGUAGAUAUUCGGUGGAACACCAGUGGCGAAGGCGGCUAACUGGACUGGUACUGACGCUGAGGCGCGAAAGUGUGGGGAGCAAACAGGAUUAGAUACCCUGGUAGUCCACACCGUAAACGAUGAAUG
rnacentral:rRNA from 1 species